UCCUGCAUGUGUCACACUGACAGAAUCUCCUGCCACCAUGACUGCUCUGGUGCUGCUCUCUGUCUUCGUAGUCUUCAUUCAGGAUGCAAGUUGUCAGAUUUCUGUGAAUCAACCAUCAGCACCAAAGUCAGUUUCCCCAGGAGGGAGCGUCACCUUCACUUGUACUACUGGGAGUAGUGUGAGUGGCUACAUGGCCUGGUUUCAACAGAGACCUGGACAAACCCCUAAAGCCCUGAUCUAUAGUGCAAGCACUCGCUACACUGGCAUCCCAAGUCGCUUCAGUGGCAGCGGGUCAGGAACUUCAUACAGUAUGACUAUCAGUGAAGUCCAACCUGAAGAUGCCGGUCACUACUACUGUAUGCAUCAUGCUAGCUACCCUCUCACACAGUGAUUGAGACUCGUACAAAAACCUCACUGAGCUGCUGUCAAGUC